rnacentral:rRNA from 1 species
AACGAACGCUGGCGGCACGUUUUAAGCAUGCAAGUCGAAUGGCAGUGGGGGCAACCCCAUGAGAAUGGCGAACGGGUGAGUAACACGUAGGUGAUCUGCCUGACGGAUGGGGAUAGCUUGUGGAAACACAGGGUAAUACCGAAUGAGCUGACGAGACUUUGGUUUUGUUAGUAAAGGUGCUACGGCACCGCCGACAGAGGAGCCUGCGGCUGAUUAGCUAGUUGGUGGGUGAAAGGCCUACCAAGGCGACGAUCAGUAGCCGGCCUGAGAGGGUGUACGGACACGCUUGAACGUAGGCACGGUCGAGAGUCGUACGGGAGGCAGCAGCUAAGAAUCUUCCGCAAUGGGCGAAAGGCUGACGGAGCGAUGCCGCGUGAUCGAUGAAGGUCGAGAGAUUGUAAAGAUCUUUUCUACAUGAGGAAUAAGUCUGGGAGGGAAUGCCUGGAUGAUGACGUUAGUGUAGGAAUAAGCCCCGGCUAAUUACGUGCCAGCCGCCGCCGUAA